GAUGAACGCUAGCUACAGGCUUAACACAUGCAAGUCGAGGGGAAACGACAUCGAAAGCUUGCUUUUGAUGGGCGUCGACCGGCGCACGGGUGAGUAACGCGUAUCCAACCUGCCCACCACUUGGGGAUAACCUUGCGAAAGUAAGACUAAUACCCAAUGAUAUCUCUAGAAGACAUCUGAAAGGGAUUAAAGAUUUAUCGGUGAUGGAUGGGGAUGCGUCUGAUUAGCUUGUGGGCGGGGUAACGGCCCACCAAGGCGAUGAUCAGUAGGGGUUCUGAGAGGAAGGUCCCCCACAUUGGAACUGAGACACGGUCCAAACUCCUACGGGAGGCAGCAGUGAGGAAUAUUGGUCAAUGGGCGAGAGCCUGAACCAGCCAAGUAGCGUGCAGGAUGACGGCCCUAUGGGUUGUAAACUGCUUUUAUAAGGGAAUAAAGUGGGAGUCGUGACUCUUUUUGCAUGUACCUUAUGAAUAAGGACCAGCUAAUUCCGUGCCAGCAGCCGCCGUAA
rnacentral:rRNA from 1 species